rnacentral:rRNA from 1 species
CUACGGGUUGCAGCAGUGAGGAAUAUUGCACAAUGGGGGCAACCCUGAUGCAGCAACGCCGCGUGGAGGAUGACGCAUUUCGGUGUGUAAACUCCUUUUAUCAGAGAAGAACCAUGACGGUAUCUGAUGAAUAAGCUCCGGCUAACUCCGUGCCAGCAGCCGCGGUAAUACGGAGGGAGCAAGCGUUAUUCGGAAUCACUGGGCGUAAAGGACGCGUAGGCCGGUCUGUAAGUCAGGUGUGAAAUGCAAUGGCUCAACCAUUGAACUGCACUUGAAACUGCGGACCUAGAGUAUGGAAGGGGCAGAUGGGAUUAGUGGUGUAGGGGUAAAAUCCGUAGAUAUCACUAGGAAUACCGAAAGCGAAGGCGAUCUGCUGGGACAUAACUGACGCUGAGGCGUGAAAGCGUGGGGAGCAAACAGGAUUAGAUACCCGUGUAGUC